UGGGGAAUAUUGCACAAUGGGCGCAAGCCUGAUGCAGCCAUGCCGCGUGUGUGAAGAAGGCCUUCGGGUUGUAAAGCACUUUCAGCGGGGAGGAAGGCGUUAAGGUUAAUAACCUUGGCGAUUGACGUUACCCGCAGAAGAAGCACCGGCUAACUCCGUGCCAGCAGCCGCGGUAAUACGGAGGGUGCAAGCGUUAAUCGGAAUUACUGGGCGUAAAGCGCACGCAGGCGGUCUGUCAAGUCGGAUGUGAAAUCCCCGGGCUCAACCUGGGAACUGCAUUCGAAACUGGCAGGCUAGAGUCUUGUAGAGGGGGGUAGAAUUCCAGGUGUGGCGGGGAAAUGCGUAGAGAUCUGGAGGAAUACCGGUGGCGAAGGCGGCCCCCUGGACAAAGACUGACGCUCAGGUGCGAAAGCGUGGGGAGCAAACAGG
rnacentral:rRNA from 1 species